CAAACCAUGCGUACGCAUGGGUCAGAGUUUGCUUAGGGCUGCGCACAUUUUCCCGUCAUGUUGGUUUUUUAUAGAUCACAACCUUGGCGUGAAAAGUCACGUACGCCAAUUUCAGCCCCGUUUUGUGCGUACGCAACGGUUAUAAAUGAGACCCCUGCUGAGGACUAUGUUUCCGGGGACAUGAUGGAGUUCAAGAUGGGUUUUCGGAGCGAGAAAAGAGUGAGGCUGAAAGCCGGUGUGAUUCCCUCAAUUCAUGCCGCUCCAGCCGCAGCUUCGGGCUCAGCCACCGGCGGCAGUGAAGAUCACGGACCGGUCAGAGAUUCAACGAUUCGGAAACGUGAACUGUGCACUUUGCUGGGAAAUACGGCACGUUUUGAAGCCACAGAUGCGCCUACAGCCAGUGAAGACUCGGAGCAAGAGGCCGUCGCUUCACUGGCUUCUCAGCCAAAAUCUGUGCUUCACUUUGGCUCACAGUGUCACAUAAGACCUCCUUAUCGUUCAUCAGCUAUCCAGGUACAGACACAGACUGUCAGUGUGGGGACACAGACCGAACUCUGUGUUUCAUCAAUUCCACUGCCCAGUCCAGUACAAACAGAGGAUGAAUCAUCCUCUGUUUCAAGAGAUCAACCAGAUGACAGGUCAUGGAGUGAAGUGGAAGAGAUGAGCGUGUCAUCUUCUGAGGAGGAGUCAGAGCCAAAGCAGGGUUCUCAGUGGGACUUCGGAGUUGCAGACAAGUUCAUUGUCUGUCUCACCCAGCUGAUGGCUCUCUUCAUCAUUUGUCCUGCCUGUUGUGGGGAAACCAAUGGUAACGUGGAGCAGCAGCAGGGAACAUUUGUUCAGAUCAAGCAAGUCUGUGCAGCUUGUGGGUUCGAGCGUGUCUGGCAGAACCAGCCAGUGCUUCAUAGAAACAUGCCAGCCUGCAACCUGAUGCUUAGAGGGGCC
ensembl:lncRNA